UUCCACACAUGCGCCUUGGUCCAAGAUAGUUGCACAGUAGUCUUAACCGUGUGAGUACUGAACUUUUCUUGAACAUCUUGUAGCUUGUACUACACCUCCAGCAGCACAAGUCAAUCAUAAAACUUUAACCAAUGAGAAAAAAGUAUCAUCUCCAUAUAAAGCCCUGUCAGGCAUAGCUCUUCCUCUUUGAUGUGAAACAGUCUAUGAAAACAUCAGGAAAC